rnacentral:rRNA from 1 species
GAUGAACGCUGGCGGCGUGCCUAAUACAUGCAAGUCGAGCGAACGGACGAGAAGCUUGCUUCUCUGAUGUUAGCGGCGGACGGGUGAGUAACACGUGGAUAACCUACCUAUAAGACUGGGAUAACUUCGGGAAACCGGAGCUAAUACCGGAUGAGAUUUUGAACCGCAUGGUUCAAAAGUGAAAGACGGUCUUGCUGUCACUUAUAGAUGGAUCCGCGCUGCAUUAGCUAGUUGGUAAGGUAACGGCUUACCAAGGCAACGAUGCAUAGCCGACCUGAGAGGGUGAUCGGCCACACUGGAACUGAGACACGGUCCAGACUCCUACGGGAGGCAGCAGUAGGGAAUCUUCCGCAAUGGGCGAAAGCCUGACGGAGCAACGCCGCGUGAGUGAUGAAGGUCUUCGGAUCGUAAAACUCUGUUAUUAGGGAAGAACAUAUGUGUAAGUAACUGUGCACAUCUUGACGGUACCUAAUCAGAAAGCCACGGCUAACUACGUG